rnacentral:tRNA from 1 species
GCCUUGAUAGUGUAACUGGUAAGGACACUCGCAUGGAAUGUAAGAUAUCCGGGUUCGACUCCCGGCCGAGGUA